GCAGCCACACAAAUCCCCCUGGGGUUUAUACUCUGAGAGUCAGAGUAUUACAAAAUCGUUUGAACAACAAACACAAAAUGAGAACACGUGGCCCUUUCUCCCUUCCUUGGAAACAAUGGGAAUUUCUCCAGCUCCUUCAGGAGAGCCAGGAUCUUCCCCUCUGCUACCGCAAGUCCARCUCUAAAGUUCAUGACUCUUCCCUUGCAUUUCAAUUCCAGUAAGCCCCAGCGGGUUGACUCCUUUUGCCAUAACAGAGCACCGAACAGAAAGGAURGAUGUUACAGCUAGAGCACAUGCACCUGGGUUCAGGUCCCGGACCUGAUCCACGUUCCCUGCUUGUCUUUGAGUUCACAGAGAUGAUCAUCAGAUAACUUGCCUUUGUUUCUGGGGCAGACAGGGCAGAGACAUGGGCUGUUUCCACACAGUAUUUCAGAAAAGCCUCUGCUGGUGCCAGACUUGCUCUCGCUGCAACACCAGAAGGAGUUCUGAGAGCUACCCAGCUCGCUYGGGCCAAGCAKACACCCAGAAUCUAUCACUAACUUUUGGAAAAUGGAUCUGUUCCAUUUUAAUCCAACACCUUUAGUGCAAAGAACCUCUCCUACUUCAUGACUCUAAAGGACAGAACAGGGUCUGCCUGGGCCUUAUGCMACUACUUCAUUAGGAACGUUAAAUACCAUAACCUGCRUUUUUCAAAGAGAAGAAAGAGCCUAGAACCAAGUCUCCUUGAGGACAAGAUGGCCCCCCUGGAGGAGCUGACUGCYGUCCAGCUUGMCCACUUAACCCUGUCCCCAGACGCGUUCAGCUCUGUCGCUAACACUGAACAAAUCUUUGACAGASCAUCCAAGCCGCCGGGCCUCAAUGAGUUGGCUGCUUACUGGGAUGAGUUGAACUCUGCUUUAGAGGAGGUCCUGCCCGCUAUACCCAAGCCACAGCCAGACACUGGUUGUUACAGUUUCUUGGAAAAAGCUCCAUAGAAGCACCUUACACUCAGUUUCGCUCUACCACCAACCCUUCGAUGCA
rnacentral:lncRNA from 1 species